GGGGGUGGCGGCGGUCUAUCGCCGAGCCUCCCGCUGAGAUGAGCUCCGGUGCCUGCUUGUAGUUGCCCACUUUGGGAUCGCUGGACACAUAAGUGGCAUUUCGCUGGGGGGGAAAGCCUGCAGACAUGUGAGAAUGGCUGGACCAUUGCAGUGGCGCACUGGUUUUUGUGGAUGGUGAACACAAAAAAGGGAUUGAGAAGAGACCACCCGAGUUAUUCUGAUGCAUGAGUGCUUUCUGUUCUUAGACAAAUGAGGAUCUGAGAUAUGUAGACUGAGAAUAACACACGUCCAGGUUAAAACUGUAUUCUACAAGAGAUAUUUGAUGGAUUAUUCCUAGAUAUUUCUGAGAAG